AACGAACGCUGGCGGCAUGCCUAACACAUGCAAGUCGAACGAGACCUUCGGGUCUAGUGGCGCACGGGUGCGUAACGCGUGGGAACCUGCCCUUAGGUUCGGAAUAACUCCCCGAAAGGGGUGCUAAUACCGGAUAAUGUCUUCGGACCAAAGAUUUAUCGCCUUUGGAUGGGCCCGCGUUGGAUUAGCUAGUUGGUAGGGUAAAAGCCUACCAAGGCGACGAUCCAUAGCUGGUCUGAGAGGAUGAUCAGCCACACUGGGACUGAGACACGGCCCAGACUCCCUCGGGAGGGAGCAGUUGGGGAUAAUUGACAAAGGGCGGAAAGCCGAACCAACCAAGCCGGGGGAGGGAAGAAGGGCCUAAGGUUUGAAAAGUCUUUUACCCGGGAUGAUAAUGACAGUACCGGGAGAAUAAGCUCCGGCUAACUCCGUG
rnacentral:rRNA from 1 species